GACGAACGCUGGCGGCGUGCUUAACACAUGCAAGUCGAACGGUGAAGCCCUUCGGGGUGGAUCAGUGGCGAACGGGUGAGUAACACGUGAGCAACCUGCCCCUGACUCUGGGAUAACUACCGGAAACGGUGGCUAAUACCGGAUAUGACAUUGCCGGGCAUCCGGUGGUGUGGAAAGUUUUUCGGUUGGGGAGUGGGCUCGCGGCCUAUCAGCUUGUUGGUGGGGUGAUGGCCUACCAAGGCGACGACGGGUAGCCGGCCUGAGAGGGCGACCGGCCACACUGGGACUGAGACACGGCCCAGACUCCUACGGGAGGCAGCAGUGGGGAAUAUUGGACAAUGGGCGGAAGCCUGAUCCAGCAACGCCGCGUGAGGGAUGACGGCCU
rnacentral:rRNA from 1 species